rnacentral:lncRNA from 1 species
UUUCCUGGUCUGGGAAUACAGCAGGAGCUUGGGGAGUCAGGUUUGGCUCAGGUUUGGUGGGAACGAAAACCUCAGCAUUGUCCUUCCGCUUUGCAGACAAAUUCCUUUCCCUUUUAUGACCUGUAGGAAAACAAUUGUUUCAUGUAAGACGCUGAGCGCAAGCAAGUUGGGCAUUCUGUUCAGGCAUUUGUUCAUCAUUCAUUCACUUACUCAUUCAACAAAUGUCUACGGAACUACUUUGUGCAGUUUGGGAUUAGAGAUGUGAAUAAUGCAGGCGACGAAACAAGUUUGCUGAGAGUCAUGGUGUGCCCAGCACCACAUUUUGGUUCAUCAUGGUUCAGAAAAGUUUGUCUUCUCUUGGCACACCCAGCUUUGACAGUGCACAUGAAUAGGAUACAGAGGUGCAGGCAGAGGCCAGCCCAGCCCGAGUCAAAGCUUAGGAACAGAGGAUGAAGACUGUUGCAAGGAGGCCUCUCCCCAUCAAGUCCUUCUCUCUCCUCCCUGCCCCUCACCAAUCGUUUUGCUCGUUCUACUUUCCAAGAUCUUUCUUGACAAACCUCCUCCAUUGGACACUGCUGUCUCUGCAUGCCAGCAUCCUCCCUCCUUCAGGUUCACCUUGAGUUUCUUUUGGAGAUGAGAGCUUUACCGCACUAUCGUGUGGCUGGGUGGCGAUAACCACACCCCUUAGUCCUAUUGGCUGGACCUGGCCCAUCAGAGCC